AUUGAACGCUGGCGGCAGGCCUAACACAUGCAAGUCGAGCGGAUGAAGGGAGCUUGCUCCUGGAUUCAGCGGCGGACGGGUGAGUAAUGCCUAGGAAUCUGCCUGGUAGUGGGGGAUAACGUCCGGAAACGGGCGCUAAUACCGCAUACGUCCUGAGGGAGAAAGUGGGGGAUCUUCGGACCUCACGCUAUCAGAUGAGCCUAGGUCGGAUUAGCUAGUUGGUGGGGUAAAGGCUUACCAAGGCGACGAUCCGUAACUGGUCUGAGAGGAUGAUCAGUCACACUGGAACUGAGACACGGUCCAGACUCCUACGGGAGGCAGCAGUGGGGAAUAUUGGACAAUGGGCGAAAGCCUGACCGAGCCACGCCGCGUGUGUGAAGAAGGUCUUCGGAUCGUAAAGCACUUUAAGUUGGGAGGAAGGGCAGUAAGUUAAUACGUUGCUGUUUUGACGUUACCAACAGAAUAAGCAACGGCUAACUUCGUG
rnacentral:rRNA from 1 species